rnacentral:rRNA from 1 species
AACGGUCCUAAGGUAGCGAAAUUCCUUGUCGGGUAAGUUCCGACCUGCACGAAUGGCGUAAUGAUGGCCAGGCUGUCUCCACCCGAGACUCAGUGAAAUUGAACUCGCUGUGAAGAUGCAGUGUACCCGCGGCAAGACGGAAAGACCCCGUGAACCUUUACUAUAGCUUGACACUGAACAUUGAGCCUUGAUGUGUAGGAUAGGUGGGAGGCUUUGAAGUGUGGACGCCAGUCUGCAUGGAGCCGACCUUGAAAUACCACCCUUUAAUGUUUGAUGUUCUAACGUGGGCCCCUUACCGGGGUUGCGGACAGUGUCUGGUGGGUAGUUUGACUGGGGCGGUCUCCUCCUAAAGAGUAACGGAGGAGCACGAAGGUUGGCUAAUCCUGGUCGGACAUCAGGAGGUUAGUGCAAUGGCAUAAGCCAGCUUGACUGCGAGCGUGACGGCGCGAGCAGGUGCGAAAGCAGGUCAUAGUGAUCCGGUGGUUCUGAAUGGAAGGGCCAUCGCUCAACGGAUAAAAGGUACUCCGGGGAUAACAGGCUGAUACCGCCCAAGAGUUCAUAUCGACGGCGGUGUUUGGCACCUCGAUGUCGGCUCAUCACAUCCUGGGGCUGAAGUAGGUCCCAAGGGUAUGGCUGUUCGCCAUUUAAAGUGGUACGCGAGCUGGGUUUAGAACGUCGUGAGACAGUUCGGUCCCUAUCUGCCGUGGGCGCUGGAGAACUGAGGGGGGCUGCUCCUAGUACGAGAGGACCGGAGUGGACGCAUCACUGGUGUUCGGGUUGUCAUGCCAAUGGCACUGCCCGGUAGCUAAAUGCGGAAGAGAUAAGUGCUGAAAGCAUCUAAGCACGAAACUUGCCCCGAGAUGAGUUCUCCCUGACUCCUUGAGAGUCCUGAAGGAACGUUGAAGACGACGACGUUGAUAGGCCGGGUGUGUAAGCGCAGCGAUGCGUUGAGCUAACCGGUACUAAUGAACCGUGAGGCUUAACCUUACAACGCCGAAG